rnacentral:rRNA from 1 species
CCAAAAAAAAGGGGGGNGUGGAGGAGCCGCCGGGUUCUUAUGCCCCCCGCCCCUAUUGGGGGGNGCACUGGCUGGCUUUUCUCCCCCUUCUUCUCCCCCUAAUCCUCGUCUUUUCACGCCAUCCCACGUGUGUUGGGAGAGUGGAGGAGGAAGUGUGUGUGUUUGGAGGAAGAAGCUGCGGAGGGGGAAAUAUGGUGAGGCUNGUGUGCGGACGCAGGGGUGUUGGUCACGGCUCUCACAUGCGCGCCGCGAU